AACAACAUAAGAUCAAUCAUACACUCGUUAUUGUUAUAUAUGAAAUCGAAUAUUCACAUCACUUGUGCAAGUAACAUGUGGCUGGGGAUUUCAAGUGUGUUUGGUUCAUAGCAUAAGUCAAGUGAUCCUUGCAAUCUGAAAUUGUUUUAGUUGAUCUGUUCUUGAUUGGUCUUUUGUGUUGUGCAGUUCAAGCCUGAGGAAAUUACUGCUAUCAUGAACGACUUUGCUGAGCCUUGAUCGCUUGCCCCCACCGGGUUGUACCUCGGUGGCACCAAAUAUAUGGUUAUCCAAGGUGAACCCGGAGCUGUCAUUUGAGGGAAGAAGGGUCCUGGUGGUGUUACCAUUAAGAAGACGAAUCAGGCGUUGAUCAUCGGAAUCUACGAUGAGCCGAUGACUCCAGGGUAGUGCAACAUGAUUGUUGAAAGGUUGGGUGAUUAUCUCAUUGAUACGGAUCUUUAAGUCCUCUUUGUUAUUUCAUGUUAUCUGCUUGCUUAUUUCACUAGCUCCUAUACAAGGCUUCGCAUCGAUUUGCCAAGAGAAUGCUCGAUUGUAGUGUAAUAAUAUUAAUUAAUGGUUAUUCAAAGUCAUGGGAUCUGCGUCUAGGGAAGAAGUUAUGGUGCUUGAGAAGUGAAUGAUAACUAUCAUCUCUGUUGUUGUGCUUUUUAGCGGGUAUCUGUAUACAUUUUACAAGUGGUUUUAAUGCUAUGGGCAUAGAUUGGCAUAACUUUCUAAAACCUUA